UACGUAGGUGGCAAGCGUUGUCCGGAAUUACUGGGUGUAAAGCGCGUGUAGGCGGGAGGCCAAGUCUGCUGUGAAAUCGCCCGGCUCAACUGGGCGGGGUCGGUGGAAACUGGUCACCUGGAGGACGGUAGAGGCGAGUGGAAUUCCCGGUGUAGUGGUGAAAUGCGUAGAGAUCGGGAGGAACACCAGUGGCGAAGGCGACUUUCUGGUCUGUAACUGACACUGAGGCGCGAAAGCGUGGGUAGCAAACAGG
rnacentral:rRNA from 1 species